rnacentral:lncRNA from 1 species
UUUGUGAAGGAGUUCAUCUCAAAACCAUUUGGAGAAGAUCUUCUGAACUUUUACUCUGUUUUAAUACAAUCUUAUCAUGUUUUCUUCAUCAAAAUCGUUUUGUUCUUGUUUAGUUAUGUGUGAGUAGUCAUCUAGUUGGGUUUAGGAGUUCUCAUAGGGGAUUUCUUGAUGUUUUGAUUCAUAAAACGUGUGUAGACUAAGGGAUUACGUUUUGGUUCUUCAUCUAAUGGGUUUCUUACUGCUUGAACUGAAUUGAUCACUUAGUUCAUGAUUUCAGAUU